rnacentral:tRNA from 1 species
GCGUCCUUAGCUCAGCUGGAUAGAGUACCUGGCUACGAACCAGGCGGUCGGAGGUUCGAAUCCUCCAGGGCGGGCCA